rnacentral:rRNA from 1 species
CCCUUAGAUGUUCUGGGCCGCACGCGUGCUACACUGAACGGUUCAAUGGGUAAGGUAGUGCGAAAGCAUGACCUAAUCUCGAAAUCCGUUCGUGCUGGGGAUAGAAGCUUGCAAUUAUCCUUCCUGAACGAGGAAUACCUUGUAAGCGUGAGUCAUCAUCUCACGCUGAAUACGUCCCUGCCCUUUGUACACACCGCCCGUCGCUCCUACCGAUUGAGUGUUCCGGUGAGGCUUUGGGAGAAUGGCCUCAACAUGAGUUUAUCGUGUUUUGCCGUUUGAACUUAGUCAAACCUUAUCACUUAGAGGAAGGAGAAGUCGUAACA